rnacentral:tmRNA from 1 species
GGGGGCGACCUGGCUUCGACGGGGUUAGAAAAGCUCUGACUGCGUGCCGAGGGAUCCUGCUUCCUCGUAAAUCCGCGGGAAAACCAUUAAGCGACGAAACUCAAACGUACGCGAUGGCCGCUUAAGCAAUUAAGUAGCCCGUUCGGCCCCGUUGAGCCUGCGCGGCGGGUCCGAAUGACAUCUUUUGCAGGCUGGCCCAAACUCAUGCUCAGGGGGGGCGGGCGAGACUUUACUGAGCUGGUUCCGAUGCGUGGCCCUGUCGAUUGGCAGCGUAGCGGACGAGACUUUAAAGAUCGACUACGCACGUAGAGGUCUUGGUGGACUUGAUCUCGGACGCGGGUUCGAUUCCCGCCGCCUCCACCA